rnacentral:rRNA from 1 species
AGAGUUUGAUCCUGGCUCAGGAUAAACGCUAGCGACAGGCCUAACACAUGCAAGUCGAGGGGCAACGGGGCGCAGCAAUGCGCCGCCGGCGACCGGCGCACGGGUGCGUAACGCGUAUGCAACCUGCCCCGAUCGGGGGAUAACCCGGAGAAAUCCGGACUAACACCCCAUGAAUAGCCGGGAGGGCAUCCUUCCGGCUUCAAAGGAUUACGAUCGGGGAUGGGCAUGCGUAUGAUUAGCUAGUUGGCGGGGCAACGGCCCACCAAGGCGACGAUCAUUAGGGGUUCUGAGAGGAAGGCCCCCCACACUGGUACUGAGACACGGACCAGACUCCUACGGGAGGCAGCAGUGAGGGAUAUUGGUCAAUGGGCGGAAGCCUGAACCAGCCAAGUCGCGUGAAGGAUUACGGCCCUACGGGUCUUAAACUUCUUUUCCCCGCGGGUAAAGGACGGCACGAGCUGCCGUUUUGCAAGUAGCGGGGGAAUAAGGAUCGGCUAACUCCGUG